rnacentral:tRNA from 1 species
CGGAGUGUAGCGCAGUCUGGUAGCGCACCUGGUUUGGGACCAGGAUGUCGGGGUUCGAAUCCCUCACUCCGACCA